CUGAGCUCUAUUUAUAGAUUUUCAGGACAGUGGAGUUCGCUAAGCGAAAUGACGUUCGCUGAGCGAACUAGUUACUUAAGCAAGGGGUUUCUUGACACGUAGCAAAAGGCUUGACUCAUCACUUUGUUCGCCGAUGCUCGCUAUGUCUCGCUAACAGACCCUUCCUCCCGGGUUGUGCUCGCCAUCUCUCGCUAUCUUUCGCUGAGCGAACGUUUAGUUUGCUAUUCUGCUCGCUGAAUCUCGCUGAAGCUCGCCAUAGACCCUUAACCCACUGGUUUAGUUCGUUGUAGCUCGCUAUGGCUUCGCUGAACGAAGGCUUCAAAACCUGCUUUUCUAGCCAUUCCUAACAAAAAUGCCUUGGGAUCAAUUCCUCUUUGAUUUAAUGUUAUAUUUAC
rnacentral:lncRNA from 1 species